GAACGGUAAGGCUCCAGCUUGCUGGGGUACACGAGUGGCGAACGGGUGAGUAACACGUGGGUGACCUGCCCUGCACUUCGGGAUAAGCCUGGGAAACUGGGUCUAAUACCGGAUAGGACCGCACCGUGAGGGUGUGGUGGAAAGUUUUUUCGGUGUGGGAUGGGCCCGCGGCCUAUCAGCUUGUUGGUGGGGUAAUGGCCUACCAAGGCGGCGACGGGUAGCCGGCCUGAGAGGGUGGACGGCCACAUUGGGACUGAGACACGGCCCAGACUCCUACGGGAGGCAGCAGUGGGGAAUAUUGCACAAUGGGCGGAAGCCUGAUGCAGCGACGCCGCGUGGGGGAUGACGGCCUUCGGGUUGUAAACUCCUUUCACCAUCGACGAAGGGUUUCUGACGGUAGAUGGAGAAGAAGCACCGGCUAACUACGUGCCAGCAGCCGCGGUAAUACGUAGGGUGCGAGCGUUGUCCGGAAUUACUGGGCGUAAAGAGCUCGUAGGUGGUUUGUCGCGUCGUCUGUGAAAUUCCGGGGCUUAACUCCGGGCGUGCAGGCGAUACGGGCAUAACUUGAGUACUGUAGGGGAGACUGGAAUUCCUGGUGUAGCGGUGAAAUGCGCAGAUAUCAGGAGGAACACCGGUGGCGAAGGCGGGUCUCUGGGCAGUAACUGACGCUGAGGAGCGAAAGCAUGGGGAGCGAACAGGAUUAGAUACCCUGGUAGUCCAUGCCGUAAACAGUGGGCGCUAGGUGUGGGUUUCCUUCCACGGGAUCCGUGCCGUAGCUAACGCAUUAAGCGCCCCGCCUGGGGAGUACGGCCGCAAGGCUAAAACUCAAAGGAAUUGACGGGGGCCCGCACAAGCGGCGGAGCAUGUGGAUUAAUUCGAUGCAACGCGAAGAACCUUACCUGGGCUUGACAUAUACAGGAUCGCGCCAGAGAUGGUGUUUCCCUUGUGGCUUGUAUACAGGUGGUGCAUGGUUGUCGUCAGCUCGUGUCGUGAGAUGUUGGGUUAAGUCCCGCAACGAGCGCAACCCUUGUCUUAUGUUGCCAGCACGUUGUGGUGGGGACUNGUAAGAAACUGCCGGGGUUAACUCGGAGGAAGGUGGGGAUGACGUCAAAUCAUCAUGCCCCUUAUGUCCAGGGCUUCACACAUGCUACAAUGGUCGGUACAGUGGGUUGCCAGUCCGUGAGGGCGAGCUAAUCCCGCAAAGCCGGUCUCAGUUCGGAUCGGGGUCUGCAACUCGACCCCGUGAAGUCGGAGUCGCUAGUAAUCGCAGAUCAGCAACGCUGCGGUGAAUACGUUCCCGGGCC
rnacentral:rRNA from 1 species